AGAUACUGCAAAGAAAAAAACUGGUCAGGUUUUAAGCAUCUAGAGAUAUUCUGAUUAGAUAAUCUUGCCUAAUGUUCCUAUAAAGUAUGCUCGUACAUGACAAAAAUAACCAGAGAGCACACUAGCUUUGAGGAACAAUCUUUCCGCCCCAAGGAUGCCAGCCCCCACUGGCAAACAGGGUUCCUGCCUCUGUCCUGCCCACUUGCACCUGGCUCUCCCAACACCUCAAUCUGCAAGUUCAGUCCCAUUUCAAGAUCCCCACGUCCAUUCCAAAUGCAGUGCUAUCUUUACCAACAACCUCACUCACACGAUCCCAGGACCUCAGCACUAAGUCUUGACCCCAGACUGACUUCUGUGUCCCAGUCAUAUGUAUGAAGUACUUUGUUACUCCAAAGUCUCCUUCAUGGCCAUUCAGACCCAGAGGAGGCCCAGCAACUCUGGGUGUGACCUCCCUCCUUCUGCUUUCUGCUGUUCAUACAUUGACUCGGCCACAAUAUGGUCCAGGCCCCCUGGUUCCACUAUUUACCCAGAAAGGCACCCUUCUAGUUUUUAAGGGUUUUGUUUUUGGGGUCUUUUGUUGUUGUUAUUGUUGUUGUUUUAUCACAGCCUCUCUGAAAAUCUGGUGACAAAAAAAAUAUGUACCUAUAGACAUAACUUUACAUUUAUUGGUGGAAGCAGCUUUUGGGCCCCAUGAAGCCAAGCUCAGGUUAAGAAUCCCUGAUGUGGGAGAAGCUCAGGCCCCAUCCAGUCUGAUGGCCGCACAUCACCCACGUCUGGAUAGUGUCUGCCUUUGGUCUUUCAGCAGUAUUCAUUUCUCUUUGCAGAUCUGUUUAAUACUCCCAGGGCCAGCUUUUUCCAGAAUUAUUACUGAGGUGUCCACAGACAUGAGGCCUGGCCCUCACAGCAGCACUGCCUAAGCCAGUUCUUACAACCAGUCACUGUGACAAACCUUAAUUUGGGCCAGUUAUUGCUGCCAUUGCUUUAUGUCCAAGGAGUCUGGUACUAGGAACAAGCCUGGGGAAGCAGGUGUGCAGCCUUAGGCCUGCUAUUUCAGAAUUUCUGUUCUCUUAAACCUCCUUUACUCUGCUACUAAAAAUGUUAAUGAGACAGAAGAGGGGACCCAUGAGUACAUUAAGUCCCUUGCUCCUUUCAAUUUUAUGGGCUAGUAGCCCCCUAUCCAUUAUUUCCAAAUUGUGAGUCAUCAUCCAUUAGUGGGCUACAAAAUAAAUUUAGUGGGUCAUGAUGAGUUUUUUUUAAAAGAUAUGCCUAUUUAUGUGUUUUUGUGUAUUUAUUAGGUUGAGAGGUAACUGUAUUUGCUAAUUUGGAUCAUAGUCAGAAAAGUUCAAACGCAUCUCUCCGUAUAAAAAGCCCAGAGGAGCCCCACAUAUUUAGAAUAUUCAGGGUAACAUUGCCUAAUUGGUCUCUGAAGUGGAGAUGUACCCCUUAAAGAUCACUUAGUCACCUGUGCAUUCUGAGAGAAUGGCUUAAUGUGGCCUCAAUAAUUGAUACACUCUUUAGGGAGGACAAUUUAGCAAGUACACACCCUUUCACCUAGUAGGAAUUUUGCCUGAGGAAUUGCAAGAGGACUGCAAGGACAUAUUUACAUAGUGAAAAACAGAAACCAAGUGUCCAGCAAUAAGGAACUGAUUAAAUAAACUACAGGUAAAUGUACAGAGGAGCAUUUUAUGUAAUAAUGUAAAGUCUACAUCAUAAAAUAUGUAACCCAUUGGGAAAUAUUCAUACUACCCUCAUUAACAGUAAACUAAUUAAAAAAAAUUUUUUUUAAUGUUUUAUUUCUUUUUGAGACAGAGAGAGACAGAGCAUGAAUGGGGGAGGGGCAGAGACAGAGGGAGACACAGAAUCGGAAGCAGGCUCCAGGCUCUGAGCAAUCAGCCCAGAGCCCGACGCGGGGCUCGAGCUCACGGACCGCGAGAUUGUGACCUGAGCUGAAGUCGGAUGCUUAACCGACUGAGCCACCCAGGCACCCCAACAGUGAACUAAUUUUAAAAAACCUAGAUACAGUAUCAUGUCAAUUUUAUAAUACACUUAUAUGUGUAUAUAACAUAGAUUUGGGCUGAUGGGAAUGUUCUAAAACUAGAUUGUGGUGAUCUGUGCACAACCUUGCAAACUGACUAGAAAUCAUUUAAUUGUACUCUUAGGAAAAGCAAACUACAUGGUAUAUAAAUUAUACCUGAAUAAAGCUGUUUAAAAAAAAAACAGAUGGGGACUAGAAAAAAAAUGUAAAUAAUGGUUAUCUCUAGGUAGUGGGAUUAUUGAUGAUUUUUAUCUUUUUCUUUAUACUUCACUGUAUUUCAACAUUUUUAUAAACUACAUAGUACUGUUAUAAUCCCCAAAAAUCAAAAUAUAUUUAUUUAAAUAAAGUAAAAAAAGUUUUUGUGGCAAAAUACACUCUAUGUCUUUUCUUACCUAUUUUUGUUAAGGAAAGCAUCUCCUCUGGUAACCGUGGUAUCUCCAGUUAACAUCUUGAAAGUUGAUGAUUUCCCAGCCCCAUUAACUCCCAGAAGUCCAAAGCACUGAAACAUAUUGGAGACCUCUAAGAAACUGCUGAAUAUCCUCCAGGGGAUCAGAGUGCCAAAUCUUUCAAAGGCAUCUGAAGUAGCAGCUGAGCACCAAGUAAUCCCCACACCCCAGCCUCCUGGGAUCUGGGAUACCUGGAUCAAAGUCAUCCUUCUGAACUACUGGAGUCCAGAAAAUAUAAAAGCAAGCACAGGAAGAGAUCAACUUACCUAAACUCAUUCACCCAGAUCUUGUUCUUUAAACUGCAGAAGCCAAAGAAAAAGAAACCAAAAAUCAGUGUGAAGAAACAUUGAUCCUAUUCCUGAUGAUACAAAAGAAGUUACUAUCUACCUGAGGAAAUAAACAGAGACAAAGAAUCCAGUGAUCAGGCUGGUGUUGGGGGGUGGUACCCACGGAAGGAUGCCCCAGUCCCUGUGUCUUUUUCUCCCCAUUUUAAACCAUGUUAUUUAUAUGAAAAUCAUGCUUUGGGUUAAACCAAUUCAAAAGCUACCUUACAAAGAUUUGACUGAACCAAAAGAUGUUUUUAAAUUCUUUUUAAGUAGGCUCUACACCCAAAGUGGGGUUCAAACUCAUGACCUUGAUAUCAAGAGUCGAAUGCUCUAUACCACCUGAGCCAGAUAGGCACCCUGAAACUUACUGAAUUCAAGGUAAUAUGUUAACUAUGGAGGACAUGGAAAGGUUAUGCCUCGUUCUUGGAAACUCGCAGUGAUUAUCAUUCAAGCACACCCCAGCCCUGUCAUUUAAAGUCACUGAGAAUACCUAAUAGAGAGGCUCAACAAACCAAAAGGAAACCAGAAUGAACAUUUCCUGGGCAUCAAGUACUCAAUGCUGUGCAGUGAUGCCCCAGGAACGUUCAUGGCUCUUUCAAGGUUCCACAGCCAAGUGAGACCAUUGAGUUGGCCCAGGGUUCACUUCAUAGCACUACAUAUUACCAAAAUUAUCAUGCAUUCCAUUCAGGAGAGGCCCUUUAUAUGUAUCAUGUCAUUUCAUCUGCACCAUGGAAUAGUAAGAGGACAGUUAAGGACAACUGAUUGCUCCUGGUAAAACAGAUAAUAAGUAGAAUUCAAAUUUGAAUCUAGUUUUUUUUUUGUUGACAAAUAACCUGGUGCAAAUUUAAGGUGUAUAACAAUUUGAUCUGACAUACUAUGUAUUACAAUAUGAUUACCACGGUGCUGUUAGCUAAUACCUCCAUCAUGUCCUGUAACUAUUUUCUCAUUUUUGUGGUAAGCACAUUUUUAAGAUCUAGUUGCUUCAUAACUUGGAAGUAUAGAAUACAGUAUUUUUAACUAUAAUCAACAGUGUACAUUUGAUCUCAAGAACUUUUCUAAUGCACAGCACUGUGAUUAUGCUGGGCAGCCCUAACAUUGAUGCUAACACUAAAAGUUCAUAAUACUUACCUUUUCUAGCUUAGGAAAAUAUCCUAAACUCCCAAAAGCCAACAUCAGGCCAAAAUUUGAUGUCUUCAACCCCCCUUCCCCACACACUCAGCCUGCUAUUUUUAGACCUAUAAUUCCCCUACCCAGGAAGGGCCAGGUUUAGUAAAUAAUGACCUUUUGGCUAUGAUCUGCACAUAGGUCUUCACAAGAUAAUCCGAAAUGUUUCUUCCCGUCAGGUUCUGAAGGAUGUCUGCAGUGUUCUGUUUCCUCUGUCAUCACAGAAAAACCAAGCACAAGUGUCUUUAUGGACCACAAUUGGAACAGAAACAAAAAAUCAAAGACUACAGUGACACAUGUCCCUCAAACAUGGACCACAGUAUGACCAGACCCCAGGCGUUGCCAUCAUCCAAACAUCAAGGCCUAGUCCAUUCUGCCCUCAGCAUUGGCCAUUCCCUUCUGCCAAGCUAACACGUUCCCAGGAAAUUAUUCUGAACUGCUAAACAAUAGACAGUAGAAUAUGAUUCUUUAUAGUCACAAAGGUAUUUAGGGGAGCAGUAUCAUUGACUCUGUGCCCAGUGAAUUCUCUUGUUCACUGGAGUUAUACUGAUGAUAGAACAGCUGUUAUUUUAGGAAGAAGUAACCAGGAUACCUUUAAGUUCUCACACCCAUUUGAAAUCGCUUGUCCUCACCCUGCAACCUAGAUACUGAUACAGCAGCAGAGGGAGAUCACAAACAAGCCUCUUCCUGAAAUCGUUCUCAGAAAAAAGGCUCAGGACUGCUCCCCACACUCACAGUCUCGGAGAAUGUCAGAAUUUUAAGACCCACAGAAGCUUCAUGGGCCAGCCUCCCUAAUUUCAAGGUGGGGAAACAGGUCCAGGCACUGAGGGGCCUGUCCCAGGUCACCAGCUCAUCUGUGGCAGAACCGGGGAUGAAGCCCGGCCUGUCAUGCUAUAUGUUCUGUCAACACUACCUCAGCGGGAGAAGCCAGAGUGUGUCUUCCACAGCCCACUGAUCCCGAGCGUUGGGUUCUGGUUUUAACUCGAACAGAAUUAAGAUCAAGACUGAAAGACAACCCCCUGCAUGACUGGUCAUCCAUUCCUUCUUCCUAACGGAAGCGCCCCAGCCCACCCCGUACCGCCAUCUGCUCAGUCACACUGAGACUGACUCACUUGUGGAGGAGGCAGCCCCCCUGCCCCCAGGGGACACACAG